rnacentral:rRNA from 1 species
AGCAGCCGCGGUAAUUCCAGCUCCAAUAGCGUAUAUUAAAGUUGUUGCAGUUAAAAAGCUCGUAGUUGAAUUUCGGGAUCAAAUUGUUGGUCGUGCCUCGGUACGCACUGGUAUUAUUGGUUCCUACCUUCUGAAGAACCGCGAUGUCAUUAAUUUGGUGUCGUGGGGAAUCAGGACUGUUACUUUGAAAAAAUUAGAGUGUUUAAAGCAGGCUUACGCUUGAAUACAUUAGCAUGGAAUAAUGAAAUAGGACGUUUGAUUCUAUUUUGUUGGUUUCUAGGAUUGACGUAAUGAUUAAUAGGGAUAGUUGGGGGCAUUAGUAUUCAAUUGUCAGAGGUGAAAUUCUUGGAUUUAUUGAAGACUAACUACUGCGAAAGCAUUUGCCAAGGAUGUUUUCAUUAAUCAAGAACGAAAGUUAGGGGAUCGAAGACGAUCAGAUACCGUCGUAGUCUUAACCAUAAACUAUGCCGACUAGGGAUCGGGAUGAUGUUAAUUUUUAAUGACUCAUUCGGCGCCUUAC